rnacentral:rRNA from 1 species
CGAAGUAGUGCCUAUGCGCUAUUUAGUGGCUAACGGGUGAGUAACACGUAGCUUAGCUGUCCUAAAGUGGGGGAUAGCCGCGGGAAGCCGCGGGUAAUACCGCAUGUGAUCUACGGAUUAAAGCUUAAUGCGCUUUAGGAGGUGGCUGCGGCCCAUCAGGUUGUUGGCGGGGUAAUGGCCCACCAAGCCUAUGACGGGUAUCCGGCCUGAGAGGGUGAUCGGACACAUUGGAACUGAGACACGGUCCAGACUCCUACGGGAGGCAGCAGCUAGGAAUUUUCCGCAAUGGACGAAAGUCUGACGGAGCAACGCCGCGUGAAGGAUGAAGGUCUUUAGGGAUUGUAAACUUCUUUUAUAUGAGACGAGUAAGGACGGUAUCAUAAGAAUAAGUCCCGGCUAACUACGUGCCAGCAGCCGCGGUAAUACGUAGGGGGCUAGCGUUGUUCGGAAUUACUGGGUAUAAAGGGUGCGCAGGCGGAUUUCUAAGCAAGAGGUGAAAUGUCAAGGCUCAACCAUGGCACUGCCUUUUGAACUGGUUAUCUGGAGUACAGAAGGGGAGAGCAGAAUUUCCGGUGUAGGGGUGGAAUCUAUAGAUAUCGGAAGGAAUACCGUUCGCGAA